UAUUGGCCAAUGGGCGAAAGCCUGAUCCAGCAAUGCCGCGUGAGUGAUGAAGGCCUUAGGGUUGUAAAGCUCUUUUACCCGGGAUGAUAAUGACAGUACCGGGAGAAUAAGCUCCGGCUAACUCCGUGCCAGCAGCCGCGGUAAUACGGAGGGAGCUAGCGUUGUUCGGAAUUACUGGGCGUAAAGCGCACGUAGGCGGCUUUGUAAGUUAGAGGUGAAAGCCUGGAGCUCAACUCCAGAAUUGCCUUUGAUACUGCAUCGCUUGAAUCCAGGAGAGGUGAGUGGAAUUCCGAGUGUAGAGGUGAAAUUCGUAGAUAUUCGGAAGAACACCAGUGGCGAAGGCGGCUCACUGGACUGGUAUUGACGCUGAGGUCGAAA
rnacentral:rRNA from 1 species